ACGAACGCUGGCGCGCGUGGAUUAGGCAUGCAAGUCGUGCGCGAAAGGAGGGGCAACUCUCCGAGUAGAGCAGGCGAACUGGUGAGUAACAGGUGGGUAACGUGCCCCGAAGUGGGGGAUAACCCAGGGAAACUUGGGCCUAAUACCGCAUGUGGUCGCGAGGAUUCUGGUCUUUCGACUAAAGGAGCGAUCCGCUUCGGGAUCGGCCCGCCUCCCGAUUAAGCUAGUUGGUGUAUGGGUAACGGCUCACCAAGGCUGCGAUCGGUAGCUGGUCUGAGAGGAUGGUCAGCCACACUGGGACUGUAGAUACGGCCCAAGGACUGCCUACGGGAUGGGCAGCAGUCUAGAGGGCUUCGGCAAUGGGGGAAACCCUGACCGAGCGACGGCCGCGUGCGGGAUUGAAGGCCUUCGGGUCGUAAACCGCUGUCAGGAGGUGAAGAAUGCCCGUAUGGCGAAUACGGGAGCGACGGUACCUCCAGAGGAAGCCCCCGGGCUAACUCCGUGCCAGCAGCUAGGUCAGCCGCGGUAAUACGGAGGGGGCAAGCGUGUUCGGAUUUAACUGGGCGUAAAGAGGUCCGUAGGCGGUUGCGCAAGUCUGGUGUGAAAUCUUCGCCGGCUCAACGGGAAGCAGCCACUGGAAACUGCGCACUACCUUGCGAGUAUGGUAGAGCAAGCGGAAUUCCUGGUGUAGCGGUGGAAUGUGUAGAUAUCAGGAAGAACAUCUGUGGCGAAGGCGGCUUGCUGGGCCAUUACUGACGCUGAGGGACUGAAAGCGUGUGGGAGCAAACGGGAUUAGAGUACCCCGGUAGUCCACGCCGUAAACGGUGCAUGGCUAGGUGUAGGGGGGUAUCGACCCCUCCUGUGCCGACGUUAAACACAUUAAGCAUGCCGCCUGGGGAGUCACGGGCCGCAAGGUUGAAACUCAAGGAAUUGACGGGGGCCCGCGGCAAGCGGGUGGAGGAUGUUGUUUAAUUCGGCACGCAACGCGAAGAACCUUACCUGGGCUUGAACUGCCCGGUUAAGCCUCCUGGAAACCAGGGGGUGCCCGCAAGGGCGAGCCGGUUAGAGGGUGCUUGCAUGGCUGUCGUCAGCUCGUGUCGUGAGAUGUUGGGUUAAGUCCCGCAAUCGAGCGCAACCCUUGUCGUUAGUUACCAGCGAGUCAAGUCGGGGACUCUAACGAAGCUAGGCCGGGUGAUAAACCGCGGAAGGAAGGUGGGGACGACGUCAAGUCAUCAUGGCCCUUACGUCCAGGUAGCUACAAACGUCCUACAAUGGCCGGGACAGCGGGUUGCGAAGGCCAGCGAGCGGAGCUAAUCCUCAAACCCGGUCUCAGUUCAGAUUGCAGUCUGAAACUUCGACUGCAUGAAGCUGGAAUCGCUAGUAAUCGCGGAUCAGCAUGCCGCGGUGAAUACGUUCCCCGGCCUUGUACUACACACGCCGUCACACACCACGAAAGUCGGCCGUUCCAGCAGUCGCUGUCGCAACCGCACGGGGCAAGGCCCGAAGGAACAGUCGGUAAUUGGGGUG
rnacentral:rRNA from 1 species